CGAGCGGUAACAGAGAGAAGCUUGCUUCUUUGCUGACGAGCGGCGACGGGUGAGUAACGCGUAGGAAUCUACCUAUUAGUGGGGGAUAAGCCAGAGAAAUUUGGUCUAAUACCGCAUACGCCCUACGGGGGAAAGGAGGGGCUCUUCGGACCUUUCGCUAUUAGAUGAGCCUGCGUAAGAUUUAGCUAGUUGGUGAGGUAAGAGCUCACCAAGGCGACGAUCUUUAGCUGGUCUGAGAGGAUGAUCAGCCACACUGGGACUGAGACACGGCCCAGACUCCUACGGGAGGCAGCAGUGGGGAAUAUUGGACAAUGGGGGCAACCCUGAUCCAGCCAUGCCGCGUGUGUGAAGAAGGCCUUCGGGUUGUAAAGCACUUUCAGAUGUGAGGAAAGGUGAGUAGUUAAUACCUGCUUACUGUGACGUUAGCAUCAGAAGAAGGACCGGCUAACUCCGUG
rnacentral:rRNA from 1 species